rnacentral:rRNA from 1 species
AGCUGAUCAUUGGGUGUAAAGUGUGCGCAGGCGGUUUUGUAAGACAGAGGUGAAAUCCCCGGGCUCAACCUGGGAACUGCCUUUGUGACUGCAAGGCUGGAGUGCGGCAGAGGGGGAUGGAAUUCCGCGUGUAGCAGUGAAAUGCGUAGAUAUGCGGAGGAACACCGAUGGCGAAGGCAAUCCCCUGGGCCUGCACUGACGCUCAUGCACGAAAGCGUGGGGAGUAAACA